rnacentral:rRNA from 1 species
GUCGAGAAUCUUCCGCAAUGGGCGAAAGCCUGACGGAGCGAUGCCGCGUGAGGGAUGAAGGUCUUCGGAUUGUAAACCUCUGUCACUGGGGAGGAAUAAAUGACUGUACCCAGAGAGGAAGCCACGGCUAACUACGUGCCAGCAGCCGCGGUAAUACGUAGGUGGCGAGCGUUGUUCGGAUUUACUGGGCGUAAAGGGUCCGCAAGGGGCUUUUCAAGUCUGAUGUGAAAUCCCGAAGCUUAACUUCGGAAUUGCAUUGGAAACUGCUAAGCUAGAGCAUCGGAUAGGAGAGUGGAAUUCCAGGUGUAGCGGUGGAAUGCGUAGAUAUCUGGAAGAACACCGAAGGCGAAGGCAGCUCUCUGGACGAUUGCUGACCCUCAGGGACGAAAGUAUGGGGAGCAAACAGGAUUAGAAACCCGUGUAGUCC